AUACGGAGGACGCGAGCGUUAUCCGGAUUCAUUGGGUUUAGAGGGUGCGCAGGCGGCCGUGCAAGUCAGCGGUGAAAGCCCGGGGCUCAACCCCGGAAGUGCCGUUGAUACUGCAUGGCUGGAAUGCGGUCGAGGCGGGCGGAACGUGGCGGGUAGCGGGGAAAUGCUGAGAUAUGCCACAGAACGCCGAUAGCGGAGGCAGCUCGCCAGGCCUGCAUUGACGCUCGGGCACGAAAGCGUGGGGAUCGAACAGGAUUAGAUACCCUGGUAGUCCACGCCGUAAACGAUGAUUACUAGCUGUUUGCGAUACAAUGUAAGCGGCUGAGCGAAAGCGUUAAGUAAUCCACCUGGGGAGUACGUUCGCAAGAAUGAAACUCAAAUGAAUUGACGGGG
rnacentral:rRNA from 1 species